CCUACGGGAGGCAGCAGUGGGGAAUAUUGCACAAUGGGGGAAACCCUGAUGCAGCGACGCCGCGUGACUGAAGAAGUAUUUCGGUAUGUAAAGGUCUAUCAGCAAGGAAGAAGAGAGACGGUACUUGACUAAGAAGCCCCGGCUAACUACGUGCCAGCAGCCGCGGUAAUACGUAGGGGGCAAGCGUUAUCCGGAUUUACUGGGUGUAAAGGGAGCGUAGGUGGUAAGGCAAGCCAGAAGUGAAAGCCCGGGGCUCAACCCCGAGGAUUGCUUUUGGAACUGUCGAACUAGAGUGCAGGAGGGGCAAGCGGAAUUCCUAGUGUAGCGGUGAAAUGCGUAGAUAUUAGGAGGAACACCAGUGGCGAAGGCGGCUUGCUGGACUGUAACUGACACUGAGGCUCGAAAGCGUGGGGAGCAAACAGGAUUAGAUACCCCAGUAGUC
rnacentral:rRNA from 1 species